GGAUGCGAUCAUACCAGCACUAAAGCACCGGAUCCCAUCAGAACUCCGAAGUUAAGCGUGCUUGGGCGAGAGUAGUACUAGGAUGGGUUCCCUCCUGGGAAGUCCUCGUGUUGCAUUCC
rnacentral:rRNA from 2 species